UACGAAGGGGGCUAGCGUUGCUCGGAAUCACUGGGCGUAAAGGUUGCGUAGGCGGGUCUUUAAGUCAGGGGUGAAAUCCUGGAGCUCAACUCCAGAACUGCCUUUGAUACUGAAGAUCUUGAGUUCGGGAGAGGUGAGUGGAACUGCGAGUGUAGAGGUGAAAUUCGUAGAUAUUCGCAAGAACACCAGUGGCGAAGGCGGCUCACUGGCCCGAUACUGACGCUGAGGCACGAAAGCGUGGGGAGCAAACAGG
rnacentral:rRNA from 1 species